CGUCCAUAAUGGGAAGAUGGAGAAUGGCUCCCGUUCCUUCCGGACCCGCCUGAGGGCGCACUGCGGCGGCGUGGGGAUGACUUGGAGACUCGUCUCGGGGAGGAAACCGCUCCUAUCUGUGGCCCUGACUGCUUAGGCGGGAGCUGCGUGAGCUCAGCUUUUCCAGGGCACUUUUUUCUACACGGUGCAACCAUGUUGCGGGAAAGAGAAAAUGCCCUGAAUUUGGAUGGCUGAAAAUUAUUCCAUUGUGCCUGUGUCCUGAAGAUUCUUCAUCCCUUCAUCUGCGGAUGCACAGGGGAGAGGUGUCAGACAGUCUGGGAAGAUCCACAGUGGAAAAAGUUUAUCUGUAUUUCGUGGAGACGGAUGGUCAGCUCCCUUCUGCCCAGGACUUCUGGAAAAGGCCAGCCCUACCACUUGCUUAAAUACCUCCCAUCU